CCUACGGGGCGCUGCAGUGGGGAAUAUUGCACAAUGGGGGAAACCCUGAUGCAGCGACGCCGCGUGAGUGAAGAAGUAUUUCGGUACGUAAAGCUCUAUCAGCAGGGAAGAAAAUGACGGUACCUGACUAAGAAGCCCCGGCUAACUACGUGCCAGCAGCCGCGGUAAUACGUAGGGGGCAAGCGUUAUCCGGAUUUACUGGGGGUAAAGGGAGCGUAGACGGCAGCGCAAGUCUGGAGUGAAAUCCCAUGGCUUAACCAUGGAACUGCUUUGGAAACUGUGCAGCUAGAGUGCAGGAGAGGUAAGCGGAAUGCCUAGUGUAGCGGUGAAAUGCGUAGAUAUUAGGAGGAACACCAGUGGCGAAGGCGGCUUACUGGACUGUAACUGACGUUGAGGCUCGAAAGCGUGGGGAGCAAACAGGAUUAGAUACCCUUGUAGUC
rnacentral:rRNA from 1 species